CAUGUGUACACGUAGAAGCAAAAAUGGAUAGGCUACAUGCGUACACGUAGAAGCAGCAAAUAGAUUGACGAACUAUAAGGUAUACGAUAUUGCUCGCAAGCAUCGUAUAACUAACAGUCCGAAAUCGAGGAGUAAAAGCAAAAUGAUUAUGAUUGAGGAGUAAAUGAAAUCUAGUCUAUAGAUAAUACCUAAACAGAUGGUAGACAGACGCAGGAAAUAAGAUAAUGGACUAAUAGGUAGACUUAUAGAAUGGAGAUGAAGGACAGACUAACAAAUACUUAGACACAAGAUGGAAAUCUAAAUAUAAACUAAAUACAUAAGAUAUAAAUAACAUAUAAAUAACCUAAACUAAGGCACAAACUAAUGAAAGGCUAAGGC
rnacentral:lncRNA from 1 species